GAUUAUGGCUCAGGAUGAACGCUAGCGGCAGGCUUAACACAUGCAAGUCGAGGGGCAGCGGGAUGUAGCAAUACAUUGCCGGCGACCGGCGGAUGGGUGCGUAACGCGUAUGCAACCUACCUUAUACAGGGGAAUAACCUUUCGAAAGGGAGACUAACACCCCAUGGUAUUGAUUUAAGGCAUCUUAGAUUAAUUAAAUAUUUAUAGGUAUAAGAUGGGCAUGCGUAUGAUUAGCUAGUUGGUAAGGUAACGGCUUACCAAGGCGACGAUCAUUAGGGGUUCUGAGAGGAAGGUCCCCCACACUGGUACUGAGACACGGACCAGACUCCUACGGGAGGCAGCAGUGAGGAAUAUUGGUCAAUGGGCGCAAGCCUGAACCAGCCAUGCCGCGUGCAAGGAAGACGGCCUUAUGGGUUGUAAACUGCUUUUACAUAAGACUAACCGUAUAUUUGCGAAUAUACCUGAAUGUAUUAUGAGAAUAAGGAUCGGCUAACUCCGUGCCAGCCGCUGC
rnacentral:rRNA from 1 species